rnacentral:rRNA from 1 species
UGGGGAAUAUUGCACAAUGGGCGAAAGCCUGAUGCAGCAACGCCGCGUGAGGGACGACGGCCUUCGGGUUGUAAACCUCUUUAGCAAGGAAGAAGCGAAAGUGACGGUACUUGCAGAAAAAGCGCCGGCUAACUACGUGCCAGCAGCCGCGGUAAUACGUAGGGCGCAAGCGUUAUCCGGAAUUAUUGGGCGUAAAGAGCUCGUAGGCGGUUUGUCGCGUCUGCUGUGAAAACCCGAGGCUCAACCUCGGGCCUGCAGUGGGUACGGGCAGACUAGAGUGCGGUAGGGGAGAUUGGAACUCCUGGUGUAGCGGUGGAAUGCGCAGAUAUCAGGAAGAACACCGAUGGCGAAGGCAGAUCUCUGGGCCGUAACUGACGCUGAGGAGCGAAAGGGUGGGGAGCAAAACAGGCUUAGAUACCCUGGUAGUCCACCCGUAAACGUUGGGAACUAGUUGUGGGGUCCAUUCCACGGAUUCCGUGACGCAGCUAACGCAUUAAGUUCCCCGCCUGGGGAGUACGGCCGCAAGGCUAAAACUUGAAAUGAAUUGACGGGGUCAU